rnacentral:rRNA from 1 species
AGUGAACGCUGGCGGUAGGCCUAACACAUGCAAGUCGAACGGCAGCACAGUAAGAGCUUGCUCUUACGGGUGGCGAGUGGCGGACGGGUGAGGAAUACAUCGGAAUCUACUUUUUCGUGGGGGAUAACGUAGGGAAACUUACGCUAAUACCGCAUACGACCUACGGGUGAAAGCAGGGGAUCUUCGGACCUUGCGCGAUUGAAUGAGCCGAUGUCGGAUUAGCUAGUUGGCGGGGUAAAGGCCCACCAAGGCGACGAUCCGUAGCUGGUCUGGGAGGAUGAUCAGCCACACUGGAACUGAGACACGGUCCAGACUCCUGCGGGAGGCAGCAGUGGGGAAUAUUGGACAAUGGGCGCAAGCCUGAUCCAGCCAUACCGCGUGGGUGAAGAAGGCCUUCGGGUUGUAAAGCCCUUUUGUUGGGAAAGAAAAGCAGCAGGUUAAUACCCCGCUGUUCUGACGGUACCCAAAGAAUAAGCACCGGCUAACUUCGUG